rnacentral:rRNA from 1 species
AGCGGCGGACGGGUGAGUAACACGUGGGUAACCUGCCUCAUAGAGGGGGAUAGCCUUCCGAAAGGAAGAUUAAUACCGCAUAAGAUUGUAAUGUCGCAUGACAUAGCAAUUAAAGGAGCAAUCCGCUAUGAGAUGGACCCGCGUCGCAUUAGCUAGUUGGCGAGGUAACGGCUCACCAAGGCGACGAUGCGUAGCCGACCUGAGAGGGUGAUCGGCCACAUUGGGACUGAGACACGGCCCAGACUCCUACGGGAGGCAGCAGUGGGGAAUAUUGCACAAUGGGGGAAACCCUGAUGCAGCAACGCCGCGUGAGUGAUGACGGCCUUCGGGUUGUAAAGCUCUGUCUUUAGGGACGAUAAUGACGGUACCUAAGGAGGAAGCCACGGCUAACUACGUGCCAGCAGCCGCGGUAAUACGUAGGUGGCAAGCGUUGUCCGGAUUUACUGGGCGUAAAGGGAGCGUAGGUGGAUAUUUAAGUGGGAUGUGAAAUACCCGGGCUUAACCUGGGUGCUGCAUUCCAAACUGGAUAUCUAGAGUGCAGGAGAGGAAAGGAGAAUUCCUAGUGUAGCGGUGAAAUGCGUAGAGAUUAGGAAGAAUACCAGUGGCGAAAGGCGCCUUUCUGGACUGUAACUGACACUGAGGCUCGAAAGCAUGGGGAGCAACAGGAUUAGAUACCCUGGUAGUCCACGCCGUAACGAUGAUACUACGUGU